rnacentral:rRNA from 1 species
UACGGAGGUGGCGAGCGUUGUUCGGAAUUACUGGGCGUAAAGGGCGCGUAGGCGGCAAGGCAAGUCAGGUGUGAAAGCCCCGGGCUCAACUCGGGAACUGCAUCUGAAACUGCUGUGCUUGAGUCCUGGAGGGGGUAGUGGAAUUCCCAGUGUAGCGGUGAAAUGCGUAGAUAUUGGGAGGAACACCGGUGGCGAAGGCGGCUACCUGGACAGUGACUGACGCUGAGGCGCGAAAGCUAGGGGAGCGAACGGG